AACUCUAUCUCUAGCUCAGCCACUUCUCAAUAAAACCAAACAAUCUACUACAACACCUAACUAAAACAUUCUCCAUUCCUAGUAUAGGCGAUAGAAAAGUUACUUGACGCAAUAGAGACACAUCGUACCGUAAGGGAAGGAUGAAAUAACAGUGAAAAGCAAAGUGAAAAACAGCAAAGACCAACCCUUGUACCUCUUGCAUCAUGAUUUAGCAAGAACACCCAAGCAAAACGGACUUAAGCUUGCCAUCCCGAAACCCAAGCGAGCUACUUACAAGCAGCUAUCAUGAGCAAACCCGUCUCUGUGGCAAAAGAGUGGGAAGACUUGUCAGUAGAGGUGAAAAGCCAAUCGAGCUGGGUGAUAGCUGGUUGCCUGUGAAACGAAUCUAAGUUCAUCCCUAAUUUACCCCUCCCGGAUACUAAACAAACCUUAACGAGGAAAAUUAGRAAUAAUUUAAAGGAGGUACAGCUCCUUUAAAAAAGAAUACAAUCUCCACUAGAGGAUAAUUUACCCCCAACACUAUACGUGGGCCCUCAAGCAGCCAUCAAUAAAGAGUGCGUCAAAGCUCAACCAACCAUAAAAAUUCAAAAACGCCAUGACCCCCUCACCACUAACAGGCUAAUCUAUGACUAUAGAAGAAUCAAUGCUAAAAUGAGUAACUAGAAGACCCUUCUCUUAAGCGCAAGCUUACAUUACCUAUUAUUAACAGAACGACUUAUACUACUACCUCAACGAGCACAAAUAUUAAACCACCCUGUUACCCCAACUCAGGAGCGCUUACUAGAAAGAUUAAAAUCUGCAAAAGGAACUAGGCAAACUAAAGGCCCGACUGUUUACCAAAAACAUAGCCUUCAGCUAACACCAAGUAUUGAAGGUGAUGCCUGCCCAGUGACUUACGUUUAACGGCCGCGGUAUCCUAACCGUGCGAAGGUAGCGCAAUCAAUUGUCCCAUAAAUCGAGACUUGUAUGAAUGGCUAAACGAGGUCUUAACUGUCUCUUGCAGAUAAUCAGUGAAAUUGAUCUCCCUGUGCAAAAGCAGGAAUAUGAACAUAAGACGAGAAGACCCUGUGGAACUUCAAAAUCAAGGACCAAUGUACUUAACCUCCAAACCUACAAGGCUCACUACACUUACAAUACAAUGGUCCUUAUUUUUCGGUUGGGGCGACCUUGGAGAAAAAAAGAUCCUCCAAAAAUAAGACCAUCAAUCUUGACUAAGAGCUACUCCUCAAAGUGCUAAUAGUAACCAGACCCAAUAUAAUUGACUAGUGAACCAAGCUACCCCAGGGAUAACAGCGCAAUCUCCUUCAAGAGCCCCUAUCGACAAGGAGGUUUACGACCUCGAUGUUGGAUCAGGACAUCCUAAUGGUGCAGCCGCUAUUAAGGGUUCGUUUGUUCAACAAUUAACAGUCCUACGUGAUCUGAGUUCAGACCGGAGCAAUCCAGGUCGGUUUCUAUCUAUGUUAUACUCUUCCUAGUACGAAAGGACCGGAAAAGUAAGGCCAAUACCAGAAAGUACGCCUUCUUUCUAAUUAGUGAAAUCAACUCAACUAACAAGAAAACCCACUCAUCCAACCACACCCUAGAAAAGGGCU
rnacentral:rRNA from 1 species